UACGGAGGGGGCUAGCGUUGUUCGGAAUUACUGGGCGUAAAGCGCACGUAGGCGGCUUUGCAAGUUAGAGGUGAAAGCCCGGGGCUCAACUCCGGAAUUGCCUUUGAAACGGGAUCGCUUGAGUCCGAGAGAGGAUGGCGGAAUUCCUAGUGUAGAGGUGAAAUUCGUAGAUAUUAGGAAGAACACCGGUGGCGAAGGCGGCCAUCUGGCUCGGUACUGACGCUCAGGCGCGAAAGCGUGGGGAGCAAACAGG
rnacentral:rRNA from 1 species